GUCCAGAGAUUUCUUGGUUUUGCGAAUUUUUACAGGAAGUUUAUCAAGAAUUUCUCUGAAGUAGCCCAUCCUCUCCAUGCCCUUACCGGAAACAAACAUCCCUUUAGGUGGAAUAACAAUGCACAAGAUGCCUUCGAUGAGUUAAAAAACAGAUUCACAACUGCUCCUGUUCUACAACUUCCAAAUCCUUCAUAUCCUUAUGUCCUAGAAGUAGAUGCAUCUGAAAAUGCUAUUGGAGCAGUUCUUUCUCAGCAAAAGACCCCUCAAGAUUCUCUCCAUCCUGUCGCUUUUCUCUCAAGAUCCUUAACCUCGGCAGGAAAGAACUAUCCUAU